UACGGGAGGUGCAAGCGUUUGUUCGGAGUGACUGGGCGUAAAGCGCACGUAGGUGGGCUUGUAAGUCGGAUGUGAAAUCCCCGGGCUUAACCUGGGAACUGCAUCCGAAACUACAAGUCUUGAAUGCUUCAGAGGUUGGUAGAAUUCCAGGUGUAGGAGUGAAAUCCGUAGAUAUCUGGAGGAAUACCGGAGGCGAAGGCGGCCAACUGGGAAUGCAUUGACACUGAGGUGCGAAGCGUGGGGAGCAAACAGG
rnacentral:rRNA from 1 species